UGAGGAGAAAAAAGGUGAUAAAGUGAAAACGUUUGGCUUUUGAUCAAACAUUUAAAAACUGACUUCAACUGCUAAAAGACAAUGCAGAGUUUACCAGCAGGUCUUCAUAUUUCACGUCUAAAUAUGUUUUUCUGCUAAGUAUGAAGGAAUUACAGAAAAAAAGGACAAAUGUUCUUUUUCUAAAAAGUCUCAUAUAUUCCUGAAUCAAUAUUACAUAAGGUUGAGUCAACAGAAAAAAAAUAAGAACUAUGUUUAGUAUACUUUUCUGCUUCCACGCUGGUCUGUUUGUGAGUGGGAAGGAGAAAAAACAGUGUGAAGCCUGUUCGACCGGAUAUUUUUGCAUGAGCGGAGCGGCAAAGCCAGGGCUGGGGAUAUUUGGGGACAGGCUCAGGUUAUGUUUGUAUAUUUGUGUGGGAGUCGUAUUCUUCUGAAAAGCAAUCGAUGCGUCACAGAUGUAGAAAUGUGUAUGGGCGAGGAGGGGCUGAUAUGCGAAGAACGAGAUUCCAGCGCAUGCUAUAGACAUGUGAGCUCAGAAACACGGGCUGCUUGCAUUCUCCUUCGAGCUUACAUUCUGUUUGUGUCCUCCUUAUUUAGCGAGCUGGAGAGACUUCAUGGAUGUGUGUCAUGUUUGCAGAGGGGGCACUUGUAACCAACAAUUUGUUUCUCAGAGUUGCCACUUAGCCGUGGAUCUCAGCUGUUGAUUUGGACGAGCAAUUCACAUGAGAUUUCGCAUCUUUUAACCAUUUGCGCAGAUGGUUCAUAAUUACAGAGCCUGUGAUUGAGUGCUCAUUUUACCUUUUGGAACAUGCUGCUGAGCUGUCUGGGAGAAAAACUGCAAGUCUAACUUUGCUCACUGGAGGAUUUGAACAAGACGCCGAGCGGAGAGAAGAAACAAGUCAAACACAUUUGCAUAAAUGCUGUAAUCUCCUCUCUCCAUGAGCUCUACACGGAUCAAUUUGAGUCGUAAUGAAACAAAAACCAAAACACGAGGAAAACUAUUUCCAGCCAUUCCUCAUACAUGCUCCACAUGAUUAGAGAGAACCUCCCACAUAUCAAGAUCAUUUAACUGCAUUCUGCAUGCAUGAGGAAACUCCAUUUGUAAUCAACAUGUGUAUCUGUCACAAUAUAGAACUAAAUAGGAUUACUGCUAGCAGUGACGCAGAUGCUUCUAGCUUGACGUAAGCAAAAAAAACUAAAACAGUGGAGGUAAAUAAGAAUCAGUGGAAGUGCACCAGAGGAGUAAUAGGAGAGAAGACUACUGAAGACGGGACACGAGGAGAAAAUAAACCUGGGAGAACAGCAGAGGGAAAAAAAAGCCCACGCACAGAGCAGAGUGGGUGAACCUAGCUGGAGGUAGGAACGAAGAACAAAGACAAGAGGUGAGGAGGCAGGAGGAGAGGAAAAGAGAGGAGAGAGGUCUGUCAGCUGGCAGCGGAAGCCCUGGUCCUGAAGAACCGUUUGAAUGUGGUUCCAGUUGUGCUCGGCAACACCACCUCCAAUGGCCAGCUGCUUUCAGAUAAAGUGGCAUCAAAAAAGAACCACACUCUGCUUCUCACCAUUGGAUUCAGGAGCCAAGGGCAAGUUAGCAGCACUGGGCUCUAGUCUGCUUACUGUCAGCUGUCCAAUUGACCUGGCUUCUUGUUGACAUCAGCUGUGAACAGCCAAUCAGCUGCCUUCUUGGCAUCUGGUCCGGUGAGAUAGAACUUCCCAAAGUAGGACAUGUCAAAGACAGCCACGCCGUGUCUGCACGAGAGGCACUCGCUCUUGAUCUGCAUGGAAAGACACAUCGCACAUAUUCAAUAGGAGUCCUACAUACUAAAUCAGAGGUGGGCACUGAGGGCCGCAUUCCUGCAUGUUUUCCAGCAUACCCUGCUCUGGCAUGUUCUAAUUGGCUGGACACACCUGAACCAGGUAAUCAGCCAUGAGUAGGGCAAGAUUAUUGGCUGGACACACCUGAACCAGGUAAUCAAUCAUGAGUAGGGCAAGACUAUCUGGAAAUCAUGCAGACACACCGGCCCUCGAGGCCUGGAAUUGCCCACCCCUGUACUAAAUGGUUUGUAGCUGAUCCAUCAUUAUCCUGUGCACCAAAGAAAAAAAUAAAACAUAAAAAGUUGAA